rnacentral:rRNA from 1 species
AUUGAACGCUGGCGGCAGGCCUAACACAUGCAAGUCGAGCGGAGCGGCGGACGGGUGAGUAAUGCCUAGGAAUCUGCCUGGUAGUGGGGGAUAACGUCCGGAAACGGGCGCUAAUACCGCAUACUAUCAGAUGAGCCUAGGUCGGAUUAGCUAGUUGGUGGGGUAAAGGCCUACCAAGGCGACGAUCCGUAACUGGUCUGAGAGGAUGAUCAGUCACACUGAAAGUGAUACACGGUACAGCCCUCUACGGAAGGCAGCGGUGGGGAAUGUUGAACAAUGGGCGAAAGCCUGAUCCAGCCAUGCCGCGUGUGUGAAGAAGGUCUUCGGAUUGUAAAGCACUUGAAGUUGGGAGGCGUUACCAACAGAAUAAGCACCGGCUAACUUCGUGCCGGCCGCGGCGGUAUUA